rnacentral:rRNA from 1 species
UACCAGCACCCCGAGUGGUCGGGGCGUUUAUUGGGCCUAAAGCAUCCGUCGCCGGUUCUACAAGUCUUCCGUUAAAUCCACCUGCUUAACAGAUGGGCUGCGGAAGAUACUAUGGAGCUAGGAGGCGGGAGAGGCAAGCGGUACUCGAUGGGUAGGGGUAAAAUCCGUUGAUCCAUUGAAGACCACCAGUGGCGAAGGCGGCUUGCCAGAACGCGCUCGACGGUGAGGGAUGAAAGCUGGGGGAGCAAACCGG